rnacentral:rRNA from 1 species
UAAUUCUCUAGUGGCGCACGGGUGAGUAACACGUGAGUAACCUGCCCCCGAGAGCGGGAUAGCCCUGGGAAACUGGGAUUAAUACCGCAUAGUAUCGAAAGAUUAAAGCAGCAAUGCGCUUGGGGAUGGGCUCGCGGCCUAUUAGUUAGUUGGUGAGGUAACGGCUCACCGAGGCGAUGACGGGUAGCCGGUCUGAGAGGAUGUCCGGCCACACUGGAACUGAGACACGGUCCAGACACCUACGGGUGGCAGCAGUCGAGAAUCAUUCACAAUGGGGGAAACCCUGAUGGUGCGACGCCGCGUGGGGGAAUGAAGGUCUUCGGAUUGUAAACCCCUGUCAUGUGGGAGCAAAUUAAAAAGAUAGUACCACAAGAGGAAGAGACGGCUAACUCUGUGCCAGCAGCCGCGGUAAUACAGAGGUCUCAAGCGUUGUUCGGAAUCACUGGGCGUAAAGCGUGCGUAGGCUGUUUCGUAAGUCGUGUGUGAAAGGCGCGGGCUCAACCCGCGGACGGCACAUGAUACUGCGAGACUAGAGUAAUGGAGGGGGAACCGGAAUUCUCGGUGUAGCAGUGAAAUGCGUAGAUAUCGAGAGGAACACUCGUGGCGAAGGCGGGUUCCUGGACAUUAACUGACGCUGAGACACGAAGGCCAGGGGAGCGAAAGGGAUUAGAUACCCCUGUAGUCCUGGCAGUAAACGGUGCAC